CUACGUAGGGGGCGAGCGUUGUCCGGAAUGACUGGGCGUAAAGGGCGCGUAGGCGGUUUUUUAAGUUAGGAGUGAAAGUCCGGCUUUUCAGGUUGGAGUUGCUUUUAAUACUGGAGAACUUGAGUGCGGAAGAGGUAAGUGGAAUUCCCAGUGUAGCGGUGAAAUGCGUAGAGAUUGGGAGGAACACCAGUGGCGAAGGCGACUUACUGGGCCGUAACUGACGCUGAGGCGCGAAAGCGUGGGGAGCGAACAGGAUUAGAUACCCUGGUAGUCCACGCGGUAAACGAUGAAUGCUAGGUGUAGGGGGUAUCGACCCCUUCUGUGCCGGAGUAAACGCAAUAAGCAUUCCGCCUGGGGAGUACGGCCGCAAGGUUAAAACUCAAAGGAAUUGACGGGG
rnacentral:rRNA from 1 species